GCGCGAUAGCCAAGUGGUAAGGCAAUGGUCUGCAACACCAGUAUCCGCCGGUUCAAAUCCGGCUCGCGC
rnacentral:tRNA from 1 species